AGGAGAGAUUUCGAAAACCACAUUAGUUCUGUGGUCGAAUCAAUGCCAUUGGCCAGGGACUUCAUUACCCAAUCACACCCAGAAUGUUGGGCAAAUUCACUAUUCAGAGGCACUCGUUGGGGAAUAAUAAAUAAUAACAUUGCUGAGUCAUGGAAUAGUUGGGUGAGAUCCGCGAGGUCAAUGCCAUUCGUUGGGAUGUUGGAUACCAUUAGAAGGCAAGUGAUGGUAAUGAUGAAUGAACGCCGCGAAAAGUCGGAGAUAAUGCACGGAAGGCUCUGUCCAAAACAGGAGAGCAAGUUGGCACUAUCGUACAUGGCGUCUCGACGGCUACAGUGCAGUUCAUCCUCUAGAACUGUAUUCGAGGUAACAGAUUGUAAUGAAAGAUACGCAGUCGAUUUGGAGGCGCGCAAAUGCUCUUGUCGAGAAUGAAAAACGUACCAGGAGCCAAUAAAUCCCGUACCGACGCAUGAUAUGGACGUGAUUGUUGAAAUUCAGGCGGACCAAAUUCACCCUCCUCCGUCGUCUGUCCAACCAGGCCGGCCAAAGAAGCGAAGGUUCGAGUCCCAGCAGGUAAAGAAUGCACGGAAAUGUGGUCGUUGUGGGCGUCUUGGACAUAACAGAAGAAGUUGCAAGCAACAAAUAGCUUA